CUGCCGAGCAGCCUCCACUUUUGGCCACAGUUGUUUACGUAUGGCUUUGUCCAUAGUUGUUAAAUCCUCUCCAAAUCGUAUCUCCUUUGUCUUCAGAUAGGUACUCGUUUUCGCAGCUUUCCAAAGCAUAUCACGUGAGGAUCUGGACACAAACUGGAUGAUGACAGUUCUCGCUUUCACGGCAUUUCCUUCAAGUUUUCUUCCAAGCCGGUGUACGAUAUCUACAUCUUGUUGAAGUUUGCUGGUAAGUUCUGUAAGAACUGCACAACAAAUAUCCACCACUCGUGCCUUUAUGUCUUCGCCUGCCUGUUACACCAGUCCAUACAUUCUCAGAUUCCAUCUUCUUUUGUAACGUUCUACCUCGUUGAGCUUCAAUCUCCGACAUUUUCUUACCAUGUGCACCGCUGACCUCAUGAUUUAUUUUCAUCUCCUUCUUUACAUUUUUCAUGUCUUCUUUGACGUCUUUUACUUCACUGAAGAGGAAUUCUGUCGUUAAAUGCUCACCGUAUUUGCCCUUAAGAGUUCCUCUAAUCCGUUGACUCUCUCAUUUACGCAUUGUACGAUGUUUUCUUGAAUUUCAGACAGGGAAGGUUCAUGUUUACCUUUCUUCGGAUCAGGAGUGCUGGGGGUCGAAUCCGGUAAUGUAGCAAAUGAAGUGUUAUGCACCUAAUAUGAGUGCAAUGCUUAAAUGUCAGUGCCGCAAAUGUGUACUUCAUCAUCUUUGCUUUUCAUCUUUGUUAGGCGUUUUUUCUUUGGCUUUACUUUCCCUCUCUUUCCGUUUUUCCGCCAUGGAAGCUUAUUGGGUUACACAUCGGCGAGUUGCAAAGUUGAAGAAACAAACUUUUAUCCUCAGCUUCUCAAAACAACCUCCUCACCGGUCGCCAUCUUGCAAAAGAGAUUUGUGCAUCUGUAGAGGCAGCAGCGGGCACUGUUCAGAGAUCAGGGGAUUUUGGCCAAUCAGAAGAGCUAGUCAUACCAAUAAAGAAAAAUGACAGAACAGGGUUGGUCUUCGCAGUCUUACCCUGAUGUGAAGAAGGAAUCCAACCGCAGGGGCAUCCACACCAGUCUGAAAAAUGAAGAGCUCAUUGAGGCCACUUGCUCUCUCCUAAACACGCCCCCAAUGCUCUUCAAUACAUCUUUUAUGACCCUUU